rnacentral:piRNA from 1 species
UGACUAAUAAAGAUGGGACGACAAACAAC